rnacentral:snRNA from 1 species
UCACUUUGGUAGCAUAUUUACUAAAAUUGGGAUGAAACAGAGAACUUUAGGAUGGUCCUUAUGCAAGAAUGACAUGCAUACUCAUGAAGCAUUCUAUGUAUUU